AUGCUCAAGUAUGUGGACACCAAUCUCCAGAAGCAGCAAGAACUUAAGAAGGCAAAUCAGGAGCAAUAUGCGGAGGGGAAGAUGAAAGGGGUGGUCCAGGGAAGAAGACCUCCAGCCUACAGCAGAAGAGCGUUGAAGUGAAAACCAAAAAGAAUAAGCAGAAAACAACUGGCAAUGGAGAUGGUGGCAGUACCAGUGAGACACCCCAGCUACCUUGGAAGAAAAGGGCUCAGGUAGAUCCUACUUUUGAAAAUGAAGAAAUAUUUAUGAACAGAGUUGAAGUUAAAGUGAAGAUUCCUGAGGAGCUGAAACCAUGGCUUGUUGAUGACUGGGACUUAAUUACCAGACAGAAACAGCUGUUUUAUCUUCCUGCUAAGAAGAAUGUGGAUUCCAUUCUAGAAGAUUAUGCAACUUAUAAGAAAUCUCGGGGAAAUACAGGCAAUUAGGAGUACAUCACAAAUGAGGUGGUGGCCGGGAUCAAGGAGUACUUCAAUGAGAUGCUGGGCACCCAGCUGCUCUACAAAUUUGAGAGGCCUCAGUAUGCGGAGAUCCUUGCUGACCACCCGAUUUCCCCAUGUCCUACAUGUAUGGAGUGCCUCAUCUUCUGUGGCUGUUCGUUCACAUUGGUACCAUACUGGCCUACACUCUGCUGGAUGAGCAAAGCCUGCCAUUACUACUCAACUAUCUCCAUGAUUUCCUCAAGUACCUGGUGAAGAACUCUGCAACCCUAUUUAGUGCCAGCAAUGACGAAGUGGCUCCCCCCCCCCCGCCCCCGCCGCCUCGAGUACCACCUGAAGGCCAUGUGAGAGCCCACAUGCAUCUGUGGAACAUGUUGCAAGCAUGCACACAUUGGGGAUGUGUGUGA